rnacentral:lncRNA from 1 species
GCUGAGAUUUCUGAAUCCAGUGGGGCUGAUUGCAAAGGAGACCCAAGGAACAGUGCCAAGUUAGAUGCCAAUUACCCACUUCGAGUCCUUUAUUGUGGAGUCUGUUCAUUACCAACAGAGUACUGUGAAUAUAUGCCUGAUGUUGCUCAUUGUAAACAAUGGUUAGAGAAGAAUUUUCUAAAUGAACUUGCAAAAUUUACUGUAGAAAAUUCACCCAAACAAGAAGCUGGAAUUAGUGAGGGUCAAGGAACAGCAGGGGAAGAAGAGGAGAAGAAAAAACAGAAGAGAGGUGGAAGAGGCCAAAUAAAACAAAAAAAGAAGACCAUACCACAAAAGCUUACUAAGGCCAAAAUUCCUAGAGCAAAGAAGAAACAUGUGACAAGAGUGUGUGGCCUUGCAACUUUUGAAAUUGAUCUUAAAGAAGCACAAAGAUUUUUGCUCAAAAAUUCUCCUGUGCUGCCUCAGUAAUGGGGAGGAUGAAAUUAUUCGGGGAGACUUUACAGAUGACAUAAUUCAUGUCAUUCAGAAAAAUGGCCAGAAGUAGAUGAUGACAGCAUCAAAGAUCUUGGAGAAGUAAAGAAGUGA